AAGUCGUAACAAGGUUUCCGUAGGUGAACCUGCGGAAGGAUCAUUAAAGAGCGUUUAGGGUCCCCUCAAAAAGGGCCCGACCUCCAACCCCAUGUUUACGUAUGUCUCUGUUGCUUCGGCGGCUCUGGCCCCUGUCUCACGGAGGUAACCCGCCGGGGAACACCUAAAACUCUGUCAUGUAACGUGCCGUCUGAGUACUUUAGCGAAUUAAAUAAAA
rnacentral:misc_RNA from 1 species